UACAGAGGUCUCAAGCGUUUGUUCGGAUUCAUUGGGCGUAAAGGGUGCGUAGGCGGCGCGGUAAGUCGGGUGUGAAAUUUCGGAGCUUAACUCCGAAACUGCAUUCGAUACUGCCGUGCUUGAGGACUGGAGAGGAGACUGGAAUUUACGGUGUAGCAGUGAAAUGCGUAGAGAUCGUAAGGAAGACCAGUGGCGAAGGCGGGACUCUGGACAGUUCCUGACACUGAGGCACGAAGGCCAGGGGAGCAAACGGG
rnacentral:rRNA from 1 species